AGGAGGGGAGACUGCCGCCAUGUCCUGACCGCCUUCUGCCACGUGGUGAGGUGUCACUCCAGGACCUUGUUUCAGACAGGAUCCGGGAAGUUGAUUACAAAGAAUCUCUUAUCUCCUGCAUACUCAACCUGUUUUCAGCAAUAUUGUCAGUCCUGCACACCACAGCCGUUAUUUCCUGUGGCUUCUGCCCUUUCACUCUGCAGCACAAAAAUAGGUCACUAUUAUAAAAUUAACUCUUGGACUCUCCUGAGCUGUCUCACGGCAGUGAUCAACACUGAAAUUUCGCUCUGAGCAAAAAGAGUGAAGAGAAGGCUGGGAAGCCACCCUCCUUUCCACCUCCAAGCUUCAUGGAAGAAUAGCCCAAAGGGCAGUAAUGCAAUGCGGACAGACCCCCUGAGGUCUUUUAACAGGGGACAUGACAACAUGACAAUCCAGCUGGAGUUUGAAGUGUGACCUUGGAGGUUUGAAGAGAUAAGCCACCUGUGGAACUCUCAUAUUGAAGAAAAUCAGCCCUGCUUUUAGGAGACUGUAAAGGACUCCCAAGAACCUUGCCCAGGACCAACAUGGCCCCGCUGCCUGCAAGCAAUAUAGUCCCAGGCUACGUGUCCAACCGUUAUCUACCGUUGUUUCCUUUCACACUCACCAUGCUUUAUGGAAGCAAUCUCCUGUACACACCCAAAACAUUCCUAACUUAGGCAAUUCUUUCCCCUCAAACCUAUUUUACUCUCAUGUCUGCCUGUGUUCCUUGUCCCAGUAAAUAGAAACUCUGUUUACCAACACUACUAAUUGUCAAACUAAAAAUUUGAAACCACCCUUGAAUUCUUUUUUAUAUCUGCCUGUCAGAUCCAUCAACAAAUCCUGAUUCCAACCACUUCUCACCCCUUCCAUUACUACAAAGCUGGUGCACGCCUCUGCCUCUCUUGCCUGGAUCAUUGCAAUAACCUUCUAAUGAAUCUUGUUGUUUCUUCCCUUGCCCUCCUGCUGUCUAUUUUCAACAAGACAGAUGGUGAUUCUGUUAAAAUAUAAAUCAUAUUGUGUCACUCAUCUACUCAAAUUUUUCUUUACUUCCCAUACCAGUCAGACGAAGGCCAGUGUCCCAGCAAUGACCUACAAGAUCUUCUAUGAUCUGGCUUCAUCUCUACUACCCUUGCUCGCUACUCAUCCUUUUCCAGUCAGAAUGGUUUCUGUUUUUCCUUUUAAAAACCAAUCACACUCACUCCUCACAUCCUCUACACUGCUUCUGCAUGAAAUUCUUUUCUCCCAGUUAUAAAAUGAUGUUUCUUCUGAACCCGUCUUCAGGUAUCUGCUUAACUGUCAUACUCUCUGUGAAAUCUAUCCUUAUUUAUUCCGGCACAGUAUUCAUCAUUAUCUAACAUACUGCAUACUUUAUUUGUAUUGUUUAUUUGUGUUUGUAUUUAUGUCUCCUAUCAUUAGGAAGAAAGUUCAUGCAAGCAAGGAGUUUUAUCUAUUUUGUUUAUCUAUCUUAUUUAUUGUUGUGUCCCCCAGCCCCUAGAAGAGAGCCAGGCAUACAGUAGAUUCUCUUUAAAUGUAUCUAGAACGGAUGAAUAAAUAAAGUCACCUUUUUACAUUGCUGAAAGACAAUGAGUAUCUCAAAAAAUAAUAGAGUUAUUUCUUCCUUGAAGGGCCAUAGUUUUUAGAGUCCAGAAGCAUACAACUCCUGAAUUCCAGAUAGCAAGGAUGAUGAAAUCUUCUUUUCGAAGAAAUGUCACUAUUACUGUUAAGUCCUGGUUACAAUUCCACAAACUCCCUGUGGGCAUAGUUAAUCUGAGGCCCCUUUGAAAAAAAUGUCAAUUACCUCCUGGUUUCUUCUUUCUCCAGCACUGUGACAUCCUCCCCUGAUUAAUUCUCAUUUCAUUUUCUAUAGCAUCAACUGUAGAGCCAGCACUCAUUCUCUUCAAACAAAUUACUAAAGGCAACAUGAUAACCUGGCAGAAUUGUCUUAACUUCAGUUGUCUUUUUCCCUUUGAAGUUAAAUCCCCUCUGCUCAUUAUCAGAUGAUCUGAGUAGAUUGUAUGUGAUGUAUU